rnacentral:lncRNA from 1 species
CCACUUGACUUACUGAUCUUCUUCUUCUUCUUCUUCUUCUUCUGAGAACAAUUAUUUUCUGCCAAUGAGACAAGCUUUCUAUUUGAUAGUUGAUUGCCAAGAUUUGCCAUAUUAGUUGGUACCAUACUAUACUGGAUACGAUUGUACUACACCAAUAUGCAGUCUCGUACUAUGCUAGUUUGCAGUUUUGUACCAUACCGACAUGCAGUAUUUCCCAAUGUCUCAUACUGUACCAUGUCUUUUCAAACCCUAUUAUAGAAUGGUAAUGGCACCUGAACAGGGUACUUGACCUAACUAGUUUGUUAGAUGGGUUAUGCAUGUUGAGACAUAUAACAUUUACUAAAUGAAUC